rnacentral:tRNA from 1 species
CGGGACGUGGCUCAGCCCGGCUAGAGCACUUGCUUGGGGUGCAAGGGGUCGAGAGUUCAAAUCUCUCCGUCCCGACCA